rnacentral:sRNA from 1 species
AGCUUCCGCCUGGACCCAGCCUCGUGGGAGCCCCGCGGGUCCUGCCCAGAUGUGGAAGACUGAGGCCUGUUGAAAGUGCAGAGCUCAGCCCUGGCACCCUGUGUUCCCAAGAGCUCCAUGCAGGUGCCACAGGAUGGAGAAGACCUUGCUGGCCAACCCUGGUACCACGGCCUCCUGUCCCGCCAGAAGGCUGAAGCUCUUCUUCAGCAAGAUGGCGACUUCCUGGUUCGCGCCUCUGGGUCCCGUGGGGGCAACCCCGUGAUCUCCUGCUGCUGGCGGGGCUCAGCCCUCCAUUUUGAGGUGUUCCGUGUGGCCCUGCGUCCCCGGCCAGGCCGACCCACAGCCCUCUUUCAACUGGAGGAUGAGCAAUUCCCCAGCAUACCGGCUCUGGUUCACAGUUACAUGACAGGCAGGCGCCCACUGUCCCAGGCCACAGGGGCUGUGGUCUCCAGGCCUGUGACUUGGCAGGGGCCUCUGCGACGCAGCUUUAGCGAGGACACCCUGAUGGAUGGCCCAGCUCGGAUAGAGCCUCUCAGGGCAAGGAAGUGGAGCAACAGUCAGCCUGCAGAUUUGGCACAUAUGGGGCGGUCAAGAGAAGACCCCCCUGGGAUGGAAGCCUCCACCAUGCCCAUAUCUGCCUUGCCCCGAACAAGCAGUGACCCGGUGUUGCUGAAGGCCCCUGCUCCUCUGGGAACUGUUGCCGACAGUCUCAGGGCCUCCGAUGGGCAGCUUCAAGCCAAGGCACCAACGAAGCCCCCCCGGACACCCUCCUUCGAACUGCCUGAUGCCUCUGAACGUCCCCCGACGUACUGCGAGCUGGUGCCCCGAGUGCCCAGUGUCCAGGGAACAUCCCCGAGCCAAAGCUGCCCAGAGCCAGAGGCCCCAUGGUGGGAGGCCGAGGAGGAUGAGGAGGAAGAGAAUAGAUGUUUUACGAGACCACAGGCUGAGAUCUCUUUCUGCCCCCAUGAUGCCCCCUCCUGCCUGCUGGGCCCCCAGAAUCGGCCCCUGGAACCCCAAGUCCUGCAUACCCUCCGUGGCCUGUUCCUGGAGCACCAUCCUGGGAGCACCGCCCUUCACCUGCUAUUGGUAGACUGCCAGGCCACAGGCCUCCUGGGAGUGACCAGGGAUCAGCGGGGCAACAUGGGAGUCUCAUCUGGCCUGGAGCUGCUCACUCUUCCCCAUGGACACCACUUGAGGUUGGAACUGCUGGAGAGGUGAGCCAGCAGCUUGUAAUCUUGGUUGGGGGAGGCCAAUUCCCCCCACUUCCCAAGGUCUCCAAACAGCUCCUCACUCAUGGCUCCCCAGGGAAGAAGGGAGAUGGGGCAAUGCCACCUCCUGUCCCCCCUCACCCCUGCAUUACAAACCUCCCCACUUCCCCCAGACCCUUGCCCUCCGCCUCUGCAGGCAUCAGACACUGGCGCUGGCCGGGGCGCUGGCGGUGCUGGGCUGCUCGGGGCCGCUGGAGGAGCGCGCAGCCGCACUGAGGGGCCUGGUAGAGCUGGCGCUGGCGCUGCGGCCAGGGGCGGCGGGGGACCUGCCCGGGCUGGCUGCGGUCAUGGGCGCCCUGCUCAUGCCCCAGGUGUCCCGGUUGGAGCACACGUGGCGCCAGCUCCGAAGGAGCCACACGGAGGCUGCGCUGGCCUUUGAGCAGGAGCUGAAGCCGCUGAUGCGGGCUCUGGAUGAGGGCGCUGGACCCUGCGACCCCGGCGAGGUGGCGCUGCCGCACGUGGCACCCAUGGUGCGCCUACUG